rnacentral:misc_RNA from 1 species
GAUUUUUUUUGGCCACGCCCCAGCCUCAGUCUUCUUCCCCGCGUGUGCAGCCGCUGUCUUCUUUCUCCCUGCGUGCUCCUCUCUAACCAGCCGUUCCUCUUCUCCCUCAGCUCGCGCCCUGAAGUUUCCCCUGCCGGCGUUCGGCUUCUGCUCGUCGGACCCCGUCCCGAGCUCGCCCCCAUGGCGUCCAGUGGAGUUUCUCCUCGCCGACGCUGCUCCUUCCUGCCCCAGCGCCUGCUGCGAGCUCGCCAGGAUGCCCCUGCUCGCGGCGCCCUCUGCUCAAGCUCGUCGUCCUGCGCCGUCAGUCGACCUUGCCGUGAAGCCCUGGCCGGUGCGGUGGUAGCGCCCAGCCCCCAGCGUUGGCCCCUCGCAUGGCGCUGCUCCCUGGCUUCUCUCUCUCCCUCCAUCUCUCUCUGCGUCGGCCUGCCUCAGCUCGGAUCUCCCUCCCCAGCCGAGGCCCUUCUUCCCUGGUCUCCCAUGGCCACCGUUCUUCAGUCGAGCUCCUCAGCGCCGAAGGCUCAGGUCCCUGCCGAGCUCGUCUCGAGCUCCCGCCCACCCUCUGCCCAGCCCCAGCGCCCAGCCCAUGUGUCUGGUGCUUCUACCUGCUCAGAUUUGGUGACCGUGUCCCCUGGUUCUUCAAGUUUGUCGCUGUCCCUGCUUGCCUCGGCACAGUUGGGUCCGACCACCACCCCCAUGUCGACGGUGCCCUCGAUUCGUCGGUGCCCAGGCGUGCAUCCUCUGCACCGGCUAUUCUCGCCCAAAUUCACCCCUGCACUUGGUCCUCGUCGAGGAUACGUCGCCCUCCACUCGGUUCAUGGCGCUCGGCCUCCAGCUCGCGAAGCUUCCCUGGUGGCCGCUUCCUCGUCGUUUUCUAUAGUCGCGCCCGGCCGAGGUUCCUCCCUGCGUGCGCAAGCUCUGUUGCGAGCGCCGAUCCGUACCCACAAAGCCUCGUCGGUGCUCAAUUGGCUCGAACCCUCUGCUCGGACCUUUCUUCCGUGGCGCUCAGCUCGGCCAGAUGCGACCUCGCCUUGGCUCUCUGUCCCUACUGCGCUCGCCAGUCGGACUCCUGGCCAUCGUCAACGAAUCUCGCGAUCACAGCUCUCUGUUGCUCAACCGGCGACUCGCUACUCGUCUUGCUCCAGCCUCCAGGUACGUUAAUUAAUCGCGCGAUGCGGAAGACAAGCCAAGUCGACCCCAAGCACGGACUAAUCCACAGGAUGAAGCUGAUGAACGAACCUGCCUAAUCAAGUGCUAGGACAUGAAUAAUCGUCAAGUGGACGUCAUCUAACAACACUAACCUAGUGUUACUCAGGUCCUAACUUUGUGAUGCUGUUGAUGGUGUUAAGUGCCGGUGGGCUCGGCCUUCUUAUAAGUCUAAGUACUCCUUCUAUACUUCUUAUUGAGGAUGGUCAUUUGAGCUAGCAUAUAUUUCAAACUUAUACUUUUGUAAUCACUCCGAUAAAAUAAUAUAAAAUUUUUG